CUUCCAGUAGCACCUUAGAGACCAACUAAGUUUGUUAUUGGUAUGAGCUUGCGUGUGCAUGCACGCUUCUUCAGAAAGCUCAUAACAAACUUAGCUGGUCUCUAAGGUGCUACUGGAAG